rnacentral:rRNA from 1 species
UGUGUAGGCCAUACCACCCUGAACGUGCCAUAUCUUAUCUGAUCUCAGAAGCUAAGGAGGAUCAGGCCUGGUUAGUUCUUGGAUGGGAAAAACAAGCUAUAUAUCUCAUGGGCUACCACAGAUGUCUACCUGA